CUCAAUAUAUCUUGAUCCUCAUAAUGAUAAAUUGCAUACGAUACAAUAGCACUUGCUGAUCAAUCUAAUCUUAGUUUGUAACUGUCAAUAUACAGUAUAACCUCCGGUAUAUCCUCAUACGUCGCAUCUCUUUGCCGUGUGAUUCAAGCCUCCAGUGCAGCCAGCGCGACAUUAUUUCUGCUGUACGCGUUAUUUCAUUUGAGUUUCCUCAACUGCAUCCACUGCAGUUCCGGUUUUCUACUUCUCUGGAUCCGAAGCUUAUCCUUUGGAGUUUCAAUAAAAUUGUUAGCAGU
rnacentral:lncRNA from 1 species